AUUCACAAGAAACAAGGGGGGGGAUGGAGAUGUUCGAUUUCAAAGAAAACGCAUGCACAGGAACCAAGGAAAUUGGCCUUGUCUCCGUAAUCAAUUGCUUGUAU
rnacentral:ribozyme from 1 species